rnacentral:tRNA from 1 species
AUCCCUGUAGCGCAAUGGACAGCGCGUUGGACUUCUAAUCUAAAGAUCGUGGGUUCGAAUCCAACCUGGGAUG